rnacentral:rRNA from 1 species
GACGAACGCUGGCGGCGUGCUUAACACAUGCAAGUCGAACGGAAAGGCCCUGCUUGCAGGGUACUCGAGUGGCGAACGGGUGAGUAACACGUGGGUGAUCUGCCCUGCACUUCGGGAUAAGCCUGGGAAGCUGGGUCUAAUACCGGAUAGGAGCCAUUUUUAGUGUGAUGGUUGGAAAGUUUUUUCGGUGUAGGAUGAGCUCGCGGCCUAUCAGCUUGUUGGUGGGGUAAUGGCCUACCAAGGCGGCGACGGGUAGCCGGCCUGAGAGGGUGGACGGCCACAUUGGGACUGAGAUACGGCCCAGACUCCUACGGGAGGCAGCAGUGGGGAAUAUUGCACAAUGGGCGCAAGCCUGAUGCAGCGACGCCGCGUGGGGGAUGACGGCCUUCGGGUUGUAAACUCCUUUCGCUAGGGACGAAGCUUUUUGGGACGGUACCUAGAUAAGAAGCACCGGCUAACUACGUG